rnacentral:rRNA from 1 species
AAGCUCAACGCUGAAUUACACGGUAUAACUACCGUCGUGAACUGUGGCGUAUAGGUGUAACUGCAUCGACGGCUAUCCGCACACUCAAAGUUCCCUUGAGUGGGGCUACUUCCACAGAAGGUGCAAGACCUGUAUGAGUGGCUGGUGGUUGCCGAUAUUGGUUACUGCUUCAGAGUCGAGUUGCCUGGGAACGCAGCUCAAAGUCGGUGGUAAACCUCAUCUAAAGCUAAAUAUGACUUCGAGACCGAUAGCGAACAAGUACCGUGAGGGAAAGUUGCAAAGAACUUCGAAGGGAGAGUUCAAAAGGACGUGAAACCGCUAGGGGGGAAGCGGAUAGAGUUAACAGCAUGAUAACGGCAUUCAGCCGAUGGACGCAACGGGCAGCAUGCAUAGUGUUCCGGAGCAAGCCGGCGCUUGUAUGUUUGCAUCGUACGUGCGAUCGGUGCUUUUGCCGUUAUUGGCGCGCUGAGGCACUCAGGGCGAUGUGUUGCACGGUAUCGGCAGAGGACUGUGCUGCUCGUCAGUGCAGAACCCUACGAUUCUGUUAAGGCAUAUUCGCUGUGAGCGCAUGCUAUUUGGGCUCGACCCGCUACAGUGCAUAAGCGAAGCUGUGGUCGUAUUGGCUGUUGCCAGUGGCUUUGUCAUUGCGUUUCUAGUCCGAGUAUGGCCAUGGUUGCGUUAGAUGC